rnacentral:rRNA from 1 species
AUACGUAGGGUGCAAGCGUUAAUCGGAAUUACUGGGCGUAAAGCGUGCGCAGGCGGUUUUGUAAGACAGAGGUGAAAUCCCCGGGCUCAACCUGGGAACUGCCUUUGUGACUGCAAGGCUAGAGUACGGCAGAGGGGGAGGGAAUUCCGGGUGUAGCAGUGGAAUGCGUAGAUAUGAGGAGGAACACCGAUGGCGAAGGCAAUCCCCUGGGCCUGUACUGACGCUCAUGCACGAAAGCGUGGGGAGCAAACAGGAUUAGAUACCCUGGUAGUCCACGCCCUAAACGAUGUCAACUGGUUGUUGGGUCUUCAUUGACUCAGUAACGAAGCUAACGCGUGAAGUUGACCGCCUGGGGAGUACGGCCGCAAGGUUGAAACUCAAAUGAAUUGACGGGG